CGGCGGACGGGUGAGUAACGCGUGGGUGACCUGCCCCAUACCGGGGGAUAACAGCUGGAAACGGCUGCUAAUACCGCAUAAGCGCACAGAGCUGCAUGGCUCAGUGUGAAAAACUCCGGUGGUAUGGGAUGGGCCCGCGUCUGAUUAGGCAGUUGGCGGGGUAACGGCCCACCAAACCGACGAUCAGUAGCCGGCCUGAGAGGGCGACCGGCCACAUUGGGACUGAGACACGGCCCAA
rnacentral:rRNA from 1 species